GCUAAACGCGAAGAACCUUACCUGGCCUUGACAUGUCCGGAAUUCUGCAGAGAUGCGGAAGUGCCUUCGGGAAGACGGAAAGACGAGGUGGUGCAUGGUUGUCGUCAGCUCGUGUCGUGAGAUGUUGGGUUAAGUCCCACAACGAGCGCAACCCUUGUCCUUAUUUGCCAGCCUGUUUACAGGCGUACCUUAAGGAGACUGCCGUAGAUAAUACGGAGAAAGGUGGGGAUGACGUCAAAUCCUCAUGCCCCUUACGUCCCGGGCUACACACGUGCUACAAUGGUCUGUACAGAGGGUAGCCAAGAAGCAAUUCGGAGCCAAUCCCAAAAAGCAGGCCCCAGUUCGGAUUGGAGGCUGCAACUCGCCUCCAUGAAGUCGGAAUCGCUAGUAAUCGCGGAUCAGCACGCCGCGGUGAAUCCGUUCCCGGGUCUUGUACACACCG
rnacentral:rRNA from 1 species